UCGGAACGUGCCCAAUCGUGGGGGAUAACGUAGCGAAAGCUACGCUAAUACCGCAUACGACCUACGGAUGAAAGCAGGGGACUCGCAAGAGCCUUGCGCGAAUGGAGCGGCCGAUGGCAGAUUAGGUAGUUGGUGGGGUAAAGGCUCACCAAGCCUUCGAUCUGUAGCUGGUCUGAGAGGACGACCAGCCACACUGGGACUGAGACACGGCCCAG
rnacentral:rRNA from 1 species